AGUUUGAUCCUGGCUCAGGAUGAACGCUAGCUACAGGCUUAACACAUGCAAGUCGAGGGGCAGCAUGGUCUUAGCUUGCUGAGGCCGAUGGCGACCGGCGCACGGGUGAGUAACACGUAUCCAACCUGCCGUCUACUCUUGGACAGCCUUCUGAAAGGAAGAUUAAUACAAGAUGGCAUCAUGAGUCCGCAUGUUCACAUGAUUAAAGGUAUUCCGGUAGACGAUGGGGAUGCGUUCCAUUAGAUAGUAGGCGGGGUAACGGCCCACCUAGUCUUCGAUGGAUAGGGGUUCUGAGAGGAAGGUCCCCCACAUUGGAACUGAGACACGGUCCAAACUCUUACGGGAGGCAGCAGUGAGGAAUAUUGGUCAAUGGGCGAGAGCCUGAACCAGCCAAGUAGCGUGAAGGAUGACUGCCCUAUGGGUUGUAAACUUCUUUUAUAAAGGAAUAAAGUCGGGUAUGGAUACCCGUUUGCAUGUACUUUAUGAAUAAGGAUCGGCUAACUCCGUGCCAGCAGCCGCGGUAAUACGGAGGAUCCGAGCGUUAUCCGGAUUUAUUGGGUUUAAAGGGAGCGUAGAUGGAUGUUUAAGUCAGUUGUGAAAGUUUGCGGCUCAACCGUAAAAUUGCAGUUGAUACUGGAUAUCUUGAGUGCAGUUGAGGCAGGCGGAAUUCGUGGUGUAGCGGUGAAAUGCUUAGAUAUCACGAAGAACUCCGAUUGCGAAGGCAGCCUGCUAAGCUGCAACUGACAUUGAGGCUCGAAAGUGUGGGUAUCAAACAGGAUUAGAUACCCUGGUAGUCCACACGGUAAACGAUGAAUACUCGCUGUUUGCGAUAUACAGCAAGCGGCCAAGCGAAAGCGUUAAGUAUUCCACCUGGGGAGUACGCCGGCAACGGUGAAACUCAAAUGAAUUGACGGA
rnacentral:rRNA from 1 species